UACGUAGGGAGCAAGCGUUGUCCGGAAUCAUUGGGCUUAAAGGGCGCGUAGGCGGGCUGUCAAGUCUGGGGUGAAAUCCCGCGGCUCAACCGUGGAACUGCCUCAGAUACUGACGGCCUCGAGGAAGGUAGGGGCAUGCGGAACUGUAGGUGGAGCGGUGAAAUGCGUUGAUAUCUACAGGAACUCCGGUGGCGAAAGCGGCGUGCUGGACCUUUUCUGACGCUGAGGCGCGAAAGCUAGGGGAGCAAACGGG
rnacentral:rRNA from 1 species